GAAUUGCGAUAAGUAAUGUGAAUUGCAGAAUUCAGUGAAUCAUCGAAUCUUUGAACGCACCUUGCACUCUUUGGUAUUCCGAAGAGUAUGUCUGUUUGAGUGUCAUGAAACUCUCAACCACCCUAUUUUGUAAUGAGAUGGGCGUGGGCUUGGAUUAUGGCUGUCUGUCGGCGUAAUUGCCGGCUCAGCUGAAAUACACGAGCAACCCUAUUGAAAUAGACGGUUUGACUUGGCGUAAUAAUUAUUUCGCUAAGGACGUCUUCUUCAAAUAUAAGAGGUGCUUCUAAUGCGCUUUUUAAAGCAACUUAAGCUUUAGACCUCAAAUCAGUCAGGACUACCCGCUGAACUUAA
rnacentral:misc_RNA from 1 species